GAGCUAAAUGCUCAUACUCGUACCGGCGUUGCCACGUCUGUCGUCUACUUUUUAAGCCACAGAACAUUUGAAAACUGUCAACUGUUCAUCUCUGACAGCCUGUCAACUCAUUUCACAUGUCUUAUUUAUUUUUAUUUUGUUAUCAGAGACCGUUUAUUAUUUACAUUUUUCAUUAAUAUUCUUUGUGAAAUUGUGGUAAUAAUUAUAUCAGAAAAUCUGUAUUGAAUAGAUGACCAAUGCAACACAAAUAACAGGGUUGCAAUCACUUACAACAUGAUUAACAACAUUAACAACAAGAAGUUUUCAGCGGAACGUUAAAUUAAACUGAUAUAUCUACAUAUAACAACAUAAGGGUCCUGUAACGUUCCUCGAACAACUGAAGAACAUUAGAAUCAUUACUUGGAAGACUGAACCUGGUCGAAAGACCCUCUCGGUCAAAACAAAGAUUUGGACCAUUAUAGGCCCCUCCAACCUUCUAGCCUCACAAAAAUUGUGGAGACAAGCAAAAGCGUCAUUACAAGUAAAACUCCUCACUUGACGAAUAUUUUCGUUGUUUCAAGGUAUAAAAGAGUGGUAUUUAACUUCAUCUAGAGCUCUAAGAAUAUAUAUUUGGCAAUCUGUAAUAGAUAAAUAGAUAUAUGAAAAUGAAUACAAAGAGUACCCAAUUUAUUGAAAUUUUGAAAACAAAUCAAGAAGUGGCGGAUUUUAUUCCCAGAAGAUAAGCCAGAUGUACGAAAGCAUUCAGAGCGUAGCAGCCUACAAAUACUUUAUAAUUAGCCUUUUACCUAGGUUACUCUAUAAAAUAUUUGGAACAUAAUAUUCGAGGAAAGUAUUUCACAAAAGGGUUAGCACAGAUGAAUUGAUGUAUAUUUAGAGAAGGGAAUAAUGACCAACCUGUAAUAAAAUACUGCUUUGAGGAUUGUGAAACUCUGGAUCCAUAUGGAAUGCGUCUGGUAGACCAUUGUUCCUGGCCUUUAUUUCUACAGCAUUUGUACGGGUAAUAAGAGAUGGAAUGAAUAUUUUCUCAAAAUGUAAAUACGUAAUAUUAUGUAAUUUAGUUGUAUUAAAUAUUCUUGAAAAGA